rnacentral:rRNA from 1 species
UACGUAGGUGGCAAGCGUUGUCCGGAAUUAUUGGGCGUAAAGCGCGCGCAGGCGGUCCUUUAAGUCUGAUGUGAAAGCCCACGGCUCAACCGUGGAGGGUCAUUGGAAACUGGGGGACUUGAGUGCAGGAGAGAAGAGUGGAAUUCCGCGUGUAGCAGUGAAAUGCGUAGAUAUCGUUUGGAACGCCAAUGGUGAAAACAGACAGCUGGGAGUGUGCUGACGCUGAGACACGAAAGCCAGGGGAGCGAACGGG